rnacentral:RNase_MRP_RNA from 1 species
CCCAGAUAUGCUGCGGGGAAAGUCCCCGUGCCUUGGGGCAGAGAGUGCCACUG